GACGAACGCUGGCGGCGUGCCUAACCCCUGCAAGUCGCACUGGACUUUCGUGGCUUUCUCCUCACGUUUCGUGGCGAACGGGUGAGUAACGCGUGAGCCACCUGCCUUUCAGUGGGGGACAACAGUUGGAAACGACUGCUAAUACCGCAUGAUGUAUUUUAGGGGCAUCCCUUUAAUACCAAAGCUUAAUGUGCUGAAAGAUGGUCUCGCGUCUGAUUAGCUAGUUGGUGGGGUAACGGCCCACCAAGGCGACGAUCAGUAGCCGGUCUGAGAGGAUGAACGGCCACAUUGGGACUGAGAUACGGCCCAGACUCCUACGGGAGGCAGCAGUGGGGAAUAUUGGGCAAUGGGGGAAACCCUGACCCAGCAACGCCGCGUGAAGGAAGAAGGCCCUCGGGUUGUAAACUUCUUUUAGCAGGGACGAAGGACGUGACGGUACCUGCAGAAAAAGCAACGGCUAACUACGUGCCAGCCGCCGCUGUAACAC
rnacentral:rRNA from 1 species